CAUAGAACACGCACUUGGCAGCCUCGUUGGCGUUGAUACGGUCGGCUGACUGCUGCAUAUCACCUUAAUUACAGGCAGCAGUCUGGGCGCAGUCAGACGGCAAAUGGCAGACAAGCUAACAGCGUUUAUGGUGGGCCAAAUUGCCAUUCCCCCCCCAGCCAUCAGCCCCCCCCACUCGUACAAGGCAUAUUGUCGUUGCCGUUACGCUUUAGCGAUUCGUUACUGUACUCGACAGAAAGAGCAACGGAUUCAGUUUGCACUCGACUGCUGAUAAGCGUGCGA
rnacentral:lncRNA from 1 species